UACAAUAGUUGCUAAUAAUCCAGAGAUGCUGCUGAGAAAUGUAUCAACUAAGUGUUGCAAAAUUGUAACAAUUUAGUCUUUGCCUGAGUUACUUAGCGGCCAGACUCCAACGCCAGAGCAUUCAACUGUAAGCUUAGAUUUGGGAAAAACAGUCAAAAAUAAAUAAUGGAAAGUAAUUGAAAACAGUCUUUAUUUCUGGGGAACAAUCUGAAAACAACUGAACUGAAAAAAAGUGAACAACCCCUUUAAGCUACAGCCCAUGACUAGUACCUGCUUAAAGGAAAAUGCACACAAGCCAUUCUAUCUCUAGGGAAAGACAGCAGCAGUAAACUUUAAACUAUUAAAGGGGAUUUAUAACAAAAAAACAACAGAAAAAAAUGAUAUAAGCUUCACCUCAUUGAAAUAAGAAAUUGUAAAAGUAAAAUUUUCGAAACGGUUUAUGAAAUAAUUUGUAGAUGUAUCUGCUUCUGAACUUAAUUAUAAAUUAAAUAUAUUACAGUAUGUCCUUUAAUCCCAAGCAGUGUGCCCAAGAGCAUCCUUUAUUCCAACAGACAGCUGUGUAUAAUGUAGUAAACACAAAUAUAGCAGUACAUUCCACUGCAGGUAAAAGAUGAAUCACAACAGAAGCAGCUGAAAAUCUCUUUGCAGCACAACAAAUGUACUUUGCUCUUUCAAACAGUCAUUCACAUUUAGCUAGUGUUUCCUGGGGUGAGGUUUUGUUCCGAGUACUCUCUCUCUCUCUCUCUCUCAAUGCGGAAUAUGCCUGAAAGGAAUCUGAUGGAUCAACGGAAUGAAUGUUCCAAAAUGGAAAUGUAGAUGGAGCAUCAUCACCCUUCCCUGAAACAUGUUAACAGCAGAGACCAGGAAAAGGAACAAUAUAAAUCGUUUUGGGCUAGUUGAUUGCACACCAUGUUCAUUUCAUAUUAUAGUUUAGCCCAUUUGUGGGAACCAUGUUACUGUAGGCAUUUGAGUGUUGGGUUAUUCAGUACUCAAUACUCCUGAGCACAUAAUCACUAGAGUGCAUGACUGUGGCAUCUAUGGUUCAAGCAAACAGUUCUCAGGUUGAUUGGGAUUUAUUCUUUGCUUGUGUAGGUCAUGUUGCACCCCGUUAUCAUUCACAGUAAAAAGUGGACAGCAGAGAUAGACCAAUUUCCAUUCAGCUUGCAGGAUGCAUUCUCCAUAGAGAGUAAUCGUAGGAUGAGAGCACCAGAUAAACUCGAUGGAAACAAUGCUCACCCAUCAGCAGUAUAUUCUAGACAACAUGCUAUGUAAAAAUAUCCUCCAUCCUGUGGAUGUUUCUUAUAUGGAAACGAAAGGGCUGCCCUGUGUGUAUGUUCUAAAGAGUAGUCAGGUCACUAACACAGCUUGAUAUAGCGGAACAGGGAAGCAUGAGGUCUAAGUACAGAGAUGCCCUCUACUCAAGUUGUGCACAGAGCCUUCUGACUGAUAAACCUUGCGGAAACGGCAUUGUGGCUAAAUGAUUAUAUUCCCUUUAAUGCACAGGGCAUUUGGAAAUGUAAAUAAUCAUAAUGAGGUUACUUCAGUGUGAAUUACUGAUUCUCUCGCAAACAUAUGGCAUAGAUAGAAGGCACGUAUAAAGUUUAAACGUCACAGGAGUUGAGUGUUGUAAGUAUGUUACCGUGCAUUUAGUCAUACUUAAUAGCAAUUGAUGAGUUAGGAAUUAGUGGCUUGUACACUCAAGAGUGAGGAGGCUUGCCUUCAAAAUGUCUCCAUCUGUUCCUAACAACUACAGUUUAGCUUAUAAGGUGAGCUUUGUGUGUCCCCCCCGUCACUAUAAGCCCAUUUUGAUUAAUGUGGAAGAUAGGUAUCGGGACAGUCCCAUUAGAUACGCAGAACAAAUGACACCAUUCUAAUAUUGGGGCUAGGGUAAACAAGGGUAUAGAAUACUUCUCUCUGCAUAAUUAAUAUUAAUGAGGUGGAGAGAAGUAGAUCAACUGAAAUCAGUCAUUAAACAUCCUGUAUCUGCCUUUAAAAAAAACAGUUUCCACCUUGUGAGCAGAGAUUGGCUUUAAAAUGUCUUCUAUUGCACAUUUCAUUCAGAUCUCUGCUUGGCUCUGUCUUGUCGCCUGCACAUGGUGGAAACUGUUCUUUUUUAAAGGUAAAUACAGGAUGUUUAAUGACUGAUUUCAGUUGAUCUGUUCUUUUUAAAGGCAGAUACAGGAUGUUUAAUGACUGAUUUCAGUUGAUCCGCUUCUCUGACUCAUUAACAUUCAUAUAAAUAUGUGUUUAAUACGCUUGUGUGCCCUUGAAGAUUACACAUAGCCUGUGGCGUUUGCAUUGGCUAGUUUAAGGAGACAUACUAUGUAAAAAAACAUUAAUGUGCCAGGGGCAUUAAACGCUCUUAAAUAUGGAAGAAAUGUGAUUAAAAAGUAGUGUUUGCGGGUUGAUUUAUUGGAGAAUUCUCCAAAACCCCUACUAAUCCUGCCCAUUCACUUCCUGCUUCCUCCUUACCCCGGCUGUGCAGGGGAGCUGGGGGAACUCAGCGCACUUUUACUGAGAAGAGCUCAUUAAAUUUGGAGUAACUGGAAACUGAUUUCAGAUGAAUUUCCAGGUCCAAAACACUGGAAACCAGAAUGAAUUAACCUUUUACUGGGUUCCCUUAUACAAGGAAGCAUAAAUUGGGCAGAAGAAAACAACAUUUCUAGACAUUGUAUACUGUUAAAAAUUGUAAUAUACAAACCAGAAAUUAUACAGCCAGAUCUUUAGUCAUAAGUGAUAACAUAAAAGGCUUUUUUGGAGGCCCAAGGGAUAUUAGUGGCCACAAGGCUGCCAUAUAUAUAUAUCUCUUUUUCAUGUCAUUGAUCAGCGCCUAUAAAAUAUGCUAUACUGGAUAUUUGAGCUUUCUAUAUAGAAAGUGGUGAACUUUAAGAGGCCUAAACUAUCAUCAUUUAAUGAUGUGGCCCAUAUGUACUUUAUUAGAACCACUAUGGCUGGAAAGGCUGGUCAUCUGCCAAACCUAAAUGAAAUGUAUGAUUUAACUUUCUCCUUGUAUAAAAUACUGAAAUGUUUCAGGACUAUUACAGUAUUAUUGCAGUGCUAAAACCAUAGCACCGAUUGUAUCAACCUAAUCAACUGAGGUGCGUUUAUUGCCUUAAUAGAAAAGGCUAGCUUGUAUUUAAAGUGCAACUUUACAGUUAUAAAACUUUCAAUUUUUCCACAUCCUGUAAGAAUUUUGUCAGAAAAGAUGAUUUUCUAUCAAAGGGCAGGUGGUUUAAGUCCUCUGCCCAUUGUGAUGGUUACAGUAUUAGCUUUCACUAUGAAGAUAUUAACCAUUGUUUCAUAACUUAACCUUUUCCAUACGAUUUCCUAUAAUGCUGACGGUUCAGUCAUUUUUCUAAAAUCAUGAAUCUUUUUGUUUAAAGUGAGAUGCUACUUCCCAGCUAGUCAAAAUGUUGCAUGUAGGUAUCAAAUGGAAGAAUAUGUCAGCUUCUGUAAUACUUCUCCCUAUUGCACAGUACUAGAUUCUAAGCUUGAGAGGUACAUUGUAUAGUAUCAGUUAAAUACCCUGAGUUGUAAAGAGAAUUGGGCCUGUUCUUCAAUCUACACAAGUUCCACUGAGUAAUAAUAAUGAGACAGCAACAAAGUAAUGUACUACUGAAAGAAGCAAGCAGAAUUAAUGAUGUGCCAUAUUAAAGAGAGAAGCUGCAAAGGAAAGCCAGAAUAAGUAUUAAUAAUCACACAUGCUGCUUGUUUCUGGUCAGAAAAUUAGCCACGCCAUAUUAUCUGAAAUACUGCUGUUAUCCCAUUCCUGAGAGGCACACAGCACAAUACAUUUUUCUGUGGUUGGGGUUAAUGAAAUGCAUAUUAUAUAAAUCACGUUGUGUAAAAAGCAGUGUUGUAUUUUUGUUUCUGCAGUUUGUUUUAAAAACAGAAUCACCCAGUCAAUAGAAAGUUGGGGAAGGUUGGAGCCCACUCAAUGGUAGCAAAGUGUUUGGGCUCCA